UGGGGGAUCGUCUAGCGGUAGGACAGCGGACUCUGACUCCGCGAACCGUGGUUCGAAUCCACGUCCCCCAGCCA
rnacentral:tRNA from 1 species